UUUUGAUGAAUAUUUUUAGGUUAAAUAACAAUUGAUGAAUUUGCGAAAAAUGACCGUUAUUAUGGUGUUACUAAUAUUUGGAAUUAUUUGAUUUUGUUUAUAACAAUUGAUAUCGUCAAUGGAUUAAAUAACUUUUGGUAUACUCUUUUUGCUAAUGCCAAAAGGGGGAAGAAUAUGGGCGAUAUGCAUGCCUUAAUUGAGGGGGAAUAUUCAAUUAAGG
rnacentral:lncRNA from 1 species